GGGGAUUUAGCUCAGUGGUUGGGUGGUCUGCUUUGCAAGCGCAAGGACCUGAGUUCAAUCCCCAGUACCCCCC
rnacentral:tRNA from 1 species